GAUGAACGCUGGCGGCGUGCCUAAUACAUGCAAGUCGAGCGAACAGACGAGGAGCUUGCUCCUCUGACGUUAGCGGCGGACGGGUGAGUAACACGUGGAUAACCUACCUAUAAGACUGGGAUAACUUCGGGAAACCGGAGCUAAUACCGGAUAAUAUAUUGAACCGCAUGGUUCAAUAGUGAAAGACGGUUUUGCUGUCACUUAUAGAUGGAUCCGCGCCGCAUUAGCUAGUUGGUAAGGUAACGGCUUACCAAGGCGACGAUGCGUAGCCGACCUGAGAGGGGGAUCGGCCACACUGGAAAUGAGACACGGCCCAGACCCCUACGGGAGGCAGCAGGAGGGAAUUUGCCGCAAGGGGCGAAAGCCUGACGGAGCAACGCCGCGGGAGUGAUAAAGGUCUUCGGAUCGUAAAACUUUUUUUUUAGGGAAGAAAAAAUGUGUAAGUAACUAUGCACGUCUUGACGGUACCAAAGCAAAAAGCCCCGGCUAACUACGU
rnacentral:rRNA from 1 species